UGACCUCGAAUCAGGUAGGGAUACCCGCUGAACUUAA
rnacentral:rRNA from 1 species